rnacentral:rRNA from 1 species
AUUGAACGCUGGCGGCAUGCCUAACACAUGCAAGUCGAACGGCAGCACAGAGGAGCUUGCUCCUUGGGUGGCGAGUGGCGGACGGGUGAGUAAUGCAUCGGGACCUACCCAGACGUGGGGGAUAACGUAGGGAAACUUACGCUAAUACCGCAUACGUCCUACGGGAGAAAGCAGGGGACCUUCGGGCCUUGCGCGGUUGG